rnacentral:rRNA from 1 species
AUUGAACGCUGGCGGCAGGCCUAACACAUGCAAGUCGAGCGGUAGCACAAGGAGCUUKCUCCUGGGUGACGAGCGGCGGACGGGUGAGUAAUGUCUGGGAAACUGCCCGAUGGWGGGGGAUAAYUACUGGAAACGGUAGYUAAUACCGCAUAACGUCUUCGGACCAAAGUGGGGGACCUUCGGGCCUCWCACCAUCGKAUGUGCCCAGAUGGGAUUAGCUAGUAGGUGAGGUAAUGGCUCACCUAGGCGACGAUCCCUAGCUGGUCUGAGAGGAUGACCAGCCACACUGGAACUGAGACACGGUCCAGACUCCUACGGGAGGCAGCAGUGGGGAAUAUUGCACAAUGGGCGCAAGCCUGAUGCACSCCAUGCCGCGUGUGUGAAGAAGGCCUUCGGGUUGUAAAGCACUUUCAGCGAGGAGGAAGGGUUCRGUGUUAAUAGCRCUGUUCAUUGAC